GAUGAACGCUGGCGGCGUGCCUAAUACAUGCAAGUAGAACGCUGAAGGAGGAGCUUGCUCUUCUGGAUGAGUUGCGAACGGGUGAGUAACGCGUAGGUAACCUGCCUGGUAGCGGGGGAUAACUAUUGGAAACGAUAGCUAAUACCGCAUGACAACAGUUAUUGCAUGAUAACUGUUUAAAAGGGGCAACUGCUCCACUACCAGAUGGACCUGAGUUGUAUUAGCUAGUUGGUGAGGUAACGGCUCACCAACGCGACGAUACAUAGCCGACCUGAGAGGGUGAUCGGCCACACUGGGACUGAGACACGGCCCAGACUCCUACGGGAGGCAGCAGUAGGGAAUCUUCGGCAAUGGACGGAAGUCUGACCGAGCAACGCCGCGUGAGUGAAGAAGGUUUUCGGAUCGUAAAGCUCUGUUGUAAGAGAAGAACGAGUGUGAGAGUGGAAAGUUCACACUGUGACGGUAUCGUACCAGAAAGGGACGGCUAACUACGUG
rnacentral:rRNA from 1 species